rnacentral:rRNA from 1 species
GAGUUUGAUCUUGGCUCAGAUUGAACGCUGGCGGAAUGCUUUACACAUGCAAGUCGAACGGCAGCACGGGGGCAACCCUGGUGGCGAGUGGCGAACGGGUGAGUAAUACAUCGGAACGUGCCCAGUCGUGGGGGAUAACGUAGCGAAAGCUACGCUAAUACCGCAUACGAACUCUGGUUGAAAGCGGGGGAUCGCAAGACCUCGCGCGAUUGGAGCGGCCGAUGGCAGAUUAGGUAGUUGGUGGGGUAAAGGCUCACCAAGCCGACGAUCUGUAGCUGGUCUGAGAGGACGACCAGCCACACUGGGACUGAGACACGGCCCAGACUCCUACGGGAGGCAGCAGUGGGGAAUAUUGGGCAAUGGGCGAAAGCCUGACCCAGCCACGCCGCGUGAGUGAUGAAGGCCUUC